rnacentral:ncRNA from 2 species
AGUUAAAUCAAAUAGGAUUCUUGUAUAUACUUAGUAAUAUGGUCUAAGAGUUUCUAGCGGGUACCGUAAAUAAACCGGCUACAAGAAUAAUUUGAAGCUUA